rnacentral:rRNA from 1 species
UACGGAGGGUGCAAGCGUUAUCCGGAUUCACUGGGUUUAAAGGGUGCGUAGGCGGACAGGUAAGUCAGUGGUGAAAUCCUUGAGCUUAACUCGAGAACUGCCAUUGAUACUAUCUGUCUUGAAUAUUGUGGAGGUAAGCGGAAUAUGUCAUGUAGCGGUGAAAUGCGUAGAUAUCGGAAGGAACACCAGUGGCGAAAGCGGCUUCCUGGUCCAGCACCGACGUUCAGGCACGAAAGCGUGGGGAGCAAACAGG